AGUUUAUAAAACCGAGUCGAGUUCAGGACAGAUAAAUUGGACUCGGGCCAAUUCCAGGUUCGAUCCAAACCCGACCUGAACACCCGUUUUGACACUCUAGAAGAACGUUAACUUUUUACCUUAUCACACGAGAGCGACUCUUUGAUAACAGAUUGAGGACGAAGCUUCAUUGAGCAAGUCUAGUGUGGCUCUUCAAUUGUGAGCAACUCUGCUUUUGUGUAUGUAGGUGACGGAAUGCAAGGCAUGUUAGAGGAAAGAGAGUAGAAAUUUGCAUAAUGAUGAUAGAUUGGGGUGAGAAUCCGUAAAUUAAUGGUUGAUGCGACUUGAGCCUCAAAAUUCGGCACUUCGUUUUCUCUAGAAAUACCCCUUACCUUCUAGGGAGGGACACUUUCUUUCUAUUUAUCCUUCAACGCUUCCUCCUCCCAAUACUCUUCUAGCUCUUGGCUGGCAGCCUGGCACAAGUUUUCCUAUUUGAGAUGGUGACCUUGAGGAGGUGCUACAAGGCAUUUACUGAGUUGGAGUAUUAUCAAGUCUCACUGGCAUCAAAGAUGUUUGCAUAUAUCAUUCUCUUCGAUUACUGUUAUAAAGAUGCCAACAUGGUGGUUCGAGUGUCCACUGAGGAUGAGCACAUCAACACAUUCUAUGUGAAAGAGUUGUGCAUCCUCUACGACCACUUCAGACUUAGCGUGCGACUCAAACUCUACUCGGAGCUUGCUAAGAUCCUCAACAACCAUGGGUUCAUGUUGGCACAGAUCAUGCCAAACUUGGUAACUUGGUGGUUGAGAAUUCCCUGCACGUUUUAUCUUGCAUCUAUGACGAGAGAGGAUCAAGGGAAUCCUUACUUUUAAAAAAAAAAAAAAGUUUAAUGCACAUAUCUAUUAGCUAAGUUCCUGCAAGAUCUGAAUGCACCUGUAAUGAUUCUUGCACAGACUUGUAAGGAACGCCCCCCAUUCUUGUAAGAAGGUUCCGGCUAUUAUUGAUCUACCCCGUGGAACUCCCCAUGACAUGCAGAUUGAAAUUAUUGCAACGGUAGAGUCCAUGGAAUCAGGAUCCAGCCAUUGAGUGCAUUUCAAAUCACCGUUGGUGUUGCAGGAACUGUUAACAUGAUUGUCCUUGUUCCUAAAUAUUAGAACCACAGAAUAUAAAAUAAUUAUUUCUCUAAAUAAUGUAUGUACGGUUCAAUGAGGUGUAAGCAUGUGAUUAGCUCAUUAGCUUCUUGUUCUUGAUUCCGUACCUAUCUGGGUCUAUUUAAGCAGCUGUCAGGACACCAUGUAUUAUUCAUUGGAAAUUAAUCUCAUUUGAUUCUCUCUCUUUCCUGCUUUACGUUUCUCUCUUAUUUAGCCAUUGGCUUCUUCACUAAAAACUUUAAUUUAAGGUACUAGAUUUUGGAUAUAAAUGUGGGCGCAGGAUUGUUGUGAGUCGACUAUGUCCUACUAAAUUUAUUACACAAGAUGGAAGGAGGGUAACACAAGCUCUUAUGAAAUGGAGGGUUGCAUGCAUGCACUUUAAAUUAUCUGCUCAGAAGAAACUCCCAAAUGUAGUUCUCCCUUUUAUCUUUUAGCCUUGAUGGUAUAGUCAACCGUCCAACUUGAACCUGUAGGUCUGUGGCUGUUGCCAAAAUAAAAUCUCUCGGCCAGCAAGCUGUAUCGAGUUCUGUCACUGGAAUGUCUUUGUUCAAAUGUCUUGUAAGUUUUAUGUGUACAUAUGAGAUAAUACUUAAUAGUGAUGUCAAUGUCAUCCUGCUAAAGGAGCUUGAUCCUUUUGAUGUAAUGUUUGAAAUUGAUGCUCAGUCAAAAUAAUGUUGAUGCUAAGAUGCCUGUUUAAGUGAUAUUACUAGAUGAAUUAAUAUGUUUAUCUGUUGCAUGUUUCCAA